ACGAACGCUGGCGGCGCGCUUUACGCAUGCAAGUCGAACGCCCCGAGCAAUCGGGGAGUGGCGGACGGCUGAGUAACAGGUAGAUAACCUGUCCAGUGGUGGGGGAUAACUCGCCGAAAGGCGAGCUAAUACCGCAUAAGCUCCCGUGGUGAAACUCCGCGGGAGGAAAGCCGCAAGGCACCGCCGGAGGGGUCUGCGUCCUAUCAGGUAGUUGGUGGGGUAACGGCCUACCAAGCCUGUGACGGGUAGCUGGUCUGAGAGGACGACCAGCCAGAAGGGCACUGAGACACGGGCCCUACUCCUACGGGAGGCAGCAGCGAGGAAUCUUGGGCAAUGGGCGAAAGCCUGACCCAGCGACGCCGCGUGAGGGAAGAAGGCCUUCGGGUCGUAAACCUCUUUUGUCGGGGAAGAAGUUCUGACGGUACCCGACGAAUAAGCCACGGCUAACUACGU
rnacentral:rRNA from 1 species